rnacentral:misc_RNA from 1 species
CCUGGCCUUGGGCCGCUCGCGGGGGCUCGUCGCUUGCGACGGUGCUCCCGGGGGUGCUUAGCCCUUGACUCUUACCUUGAUUAUGCGCACCUUUUGUUGUUCCCUCGGCAGGUCUCCUGCCGACAGGAACCCCAUAAACCCUUCAUGUAUAAGCAUCAAACCUCUGAAAACAAAUUUAAUUAUUUA